rnacentral:rRNA from 1 species
CCUACGGGUGGCAGCAGUGAGGAAUAUUGGUCAAUGGACGAAAGUCUGAACCAGCCAAGUAGCGUGAAGGAUGACUGCCCUAUGGGUUGUAAACUUCUUUUGUAUGGGAGUAAAGUGUUCCACGUGUGGGAUUUUGUAUGUACCAUAUGAAUAAGGAUCGGCUAACUCCGUGCCAGCAGCCGCGGUCAUACGGAGGAUCCGGGCGUUAUCCGGAUUUAUUGGGUUUAAAGGGUGCGUAGGGGGGUGGUUAAGUCAGUUGUGAAAGUUUGCGGCUCAACCGCAAAAUUGCAGUUGAAACUGGUAGGCUGGAGGGCAGUAGAGGUGGGCGGAAUGCGUGGUGUAGCGGUGAAAUGCUUAGAUAUCACGAAGAACUCCGAUUGCGAAGGCAGCUUACCGGACUGCAACUGACACUGAGGCUCGAAAGUGUGGGUAUCAAACAGGAUUAGAUACCCUAGUAGUC